AUCCAUGGCCACACCACCCUGAACACUCCCAGUCUCGUCUGAUCUCAGAAGCUAAGCAGGGUCGGGCCUGGUUAGUAUUUGGAUGGGAGAGCAAAUGAUCAAGUUUGAUGGCCCUGUAAU
rnacentral:rRNA from 1 species